rnacentral:rRNA from 1 species
CCUACGGGUGGCAGCAGUGGGGAAUAUUGCGCAAUGGGCGAAAGCCUGACGCAGCGACGCCGCGUGAGGGAUGAAGUUCUUCGGAUCGUAAACCUCUGUCAGCAGGGAAGAACGGUCACUGUGCUAAUCAGCAGUGAUUUGACGGUACCUGCAAAGCAAGCACCGUGUAACGCCGUGCCAGCACCCGCGGUAAUACGGAGGGUGCGAGCGUUAAGCGGAAUUACUGUGCGUAAGGCGCGCGUAGGCGGUAGGUCCAGUCAAGGGUAAGAUCCCCGCGCUCAACGUGGGAACUGCCUUGGAAACUGGCACAAUGGAGUGUGUGAGAGGAUAGUGGAAUUCCAGGUGUAGGAGUGAAAUGCGUAGAUA